AUGCACGCUGGCGGCGUGCCUAAUACCUGCAAGUCGAGCGAACAGACGAGGAGCUUGCUCCUCUGACGUUAGCGGCGGACGGGUGAGUAACACGUGGAUAACCUACCUAUAAGACUGGGAUAACUUCGGGAAACCGGAGCUAAUACCGGAUAAUAUAUUGAACCGCAUGGUUCAAUAGUGAAAGACGGUUUUGCUGUCACUUAUAGAUGGAUCCGCGCCGCAUUAGCUAGUUGGUAAGGUAACGGCUUACCAAGGCGACGAUGCGUAGCCGACCUGAGAGGGUGAUCGGCCACACUGGAACUGAGACACGGUCCAGACUCCUACGGGAGGCAGCAGUAGGGAAUCUUCCGCAAUGGGCGAAAGCCUGACGGAGCAACGCCGCGUGAGUGAUGAAGGUCUUCGGAUCGUAAAACUCUGUUAUUAGGGAAGAACAAAUGUGUAAGUAACUAUGCACGUCUUGACGGUACCUAAUCAGAAAGCCACGGCCAACUACGUG
rnacentral:rRNA from 1 species